ACUCAAAUGAAUAGACGGGGGCCCGCACAAGCAGCGGAGCGUGUGGUUUAAUUCGACGCAACACGAAGCACCUUACCCAGACUUGACUUGCAGCUGCAAGGUGGUGAAAGCCACCCGCCUUCGAGGGUGCUGCACCGGUGCUGCAUGGCUGUCGUCAGCUCGUGUCGUGAGAUGUUGGGUUAAGUCCCGCAACGAGCGCAACCCUUGCCGUCAGUUAUAGGUGUCUGACGGGACUGCCCUUCGGGGAGGAAGGCGGGGAUGACGUCAAGUCCGCAUGGCCCUAACGUCUGGGGCUACACACACGCUACAAUGGCGCCGACAGUGCGCAGCGACCGAGUAAUCGGAAGCGAAUCGCCAAACGGCGCCCCAGUGCAGAUCGGGGGCUGCAACUCGCCCCCGUGAAGGCGGAGUUGCUAGUAACCGCGUAUCAGCGAUGGCGCGGUGAAUACGUACCCGGGCCUUGCACACACCGCCCGU
rnacentral:rRNA from 1 species